AUCAUCUGAGGCUGUUCACUUCACUUGGUGUAUUGGCGGUUUAUACCCACUUUAAUCUAGGCUUACCUGUAGGGCCAAGUGGUCUGUAAGGGUUUACAACCACCAAUAUUUUGGGUCAGUGGUUGCUUCUCAGAGCAGGGGGCUUCCACUGAUCUCAUACCACUGACACUGGUAAAUAAUGGCAGCCUCAGAAAAAGGUCAAUUUCCUACUGUGUAGAGUACAUGAAUGCUUGGCAACCCUUGAGGGAAUCUUGACUGAGAAUGCCUGACCAAGAUACUGAUAUUUUCAGGUCUAAUGAGUGAAUAUUAAUCUGUUCAGUAGAGAAGAUGAAAAGCUGAGCCAGUAUUCACUGCAACAAAUGAAAUGUUUUCCAUUCAUAACCAAGUCUCCAUAACUGCCUGGUACAUUAGCUUUCAGGCUUUGAUCGUUUUUAGUGCAGAGAGAUAUGCCUUACUUUAAAGUGGAACGUUACCCAUAACAGCUUGA